AGCAGGUCAUUGUCGGUCCGCGCCCUGCGGUCUGGCUGGACCCCGCCGCUCGCCGCCUGGCCCCGUGGCUCCCUGGCCCCGUGGCUCCCUGAGCCAGAAUCGCGGCGCCGGCCUGGCCCCGCCCUCCCCUCGUGGCUGCCCGGACUUCCGGGCAGCAUGGCGGCCUGGGGCGGCCCGGCUAUCGAGAGCCAGAGCGGAACUGCCACGCUUCUUUCAAACGCACAAACAAAACCUGUGCUUUUCACGGCUCGCACAUCGCUCAGACCCACAGAGAAGACGGACGCCGCCCUCAGACUGGGACGAUUCCGGAGGAUUUGUUUCCAAGAGCGGAGGCGGAGACCUGAGCCAGGACCGAAGCAGCUGUCUCCGAACCCAGAGAGUUGGAGAAGGGUGGGAUACUGGAGUCUGGAAUGAGAGGAUCACGCAGCGGCCUUGGGAGGCCACGAUGGCAGGACAAGAGACACCGCCAGGCCAGGCGACCUCACCAGGAGGAGGGACGGAGCCAUAGACCAAGGUCACCUGGCGAGUCGAGAACAAAGCCGUCUGGGCUUUCUCUUGGAGAGCCUGAAACCUAUAAAUCCUUAAAUGGCAUUAUCAAGCGACAAGCACUGAGUUUCCUUAAUUCUCCAAAGGGAUUAGGAAAAUGCAGCCAAGCUAAGCGCCUCAGGGACUGUGCUUCUCCCGAGCUGGCCCCGCCCACGGCAAACACCCUUGGGCCUCGGACCGCCCCACUUCCUAACAGUGCAGCCUGUAAUUACAAUGACCGCAGGCGUCGGCAGCAUCUGGCUCAGGAAGACUUCCAAGGGGACAGGCAGGUGUUCGGGCGGACCCAACCACACGAACGAAGGUCGAAGUCUCCCAGUCCGUGAUCUCACCGCACACGGGCCCCCAGACGUGGCAAGCUGCUCACAGAAUCAUCUGGGCAGAUACUGCCCUCAGCACAUGUUCUCCAUCCAAGGAGUGGUACGUCUCACUUGGCUUACCUUCCUGUGUCAUCCAUUUCUGGAUUGGUGAGUUACCAUCUUUAUAUGCAGAGGAAACAAUAAAGCUAUCUUCAG